rnacentral:lncRNA from 1 species
UGUAAUAAGUGGCCUUAGGAAAUGUUUGGUUCAAAUUAAUCUUAAGUAUGAACUAUUUUGAAUCAACUAUUUAAUUUUAAAAAUUUUAACUUAUUUGAUUUGAUUCAGCCGACGGCAUAUUGACUUUAUAAUACUUCAAUAAAUUUAUGUUUGCCAGAAUUACGUAAAUGUACUAAUUAAGGGCGUGUUUUGUACUAAUUAAGGGCGAGAAUUACAUAAAUGUACUAACUAAGGGCGUGUUUUGUAAAACCGAGCUACACCUCACCGAAGCCGCGAGUUCUGUCCGUAUGGCGGAGUUCGACUUCACGCUCGUCGCAGGAGAAAUUGCGAGUUCACACCGUAUGCAAACUCGCAGCUCGAUGAGAUAGAUUCGUGCGAGUAAAUAACAUAGGCCCACGAAAGUCAGCUCUGCGAUUCCACCCAAACACCAUCAAACUAGAAUUACAAAAACUCGGCCACUUUCAUCCCGAGUUCAAUCAAAACAAACACGUUCUAAAUCAAAGUGAAUGUAUCUGGCUGACUCAAAUCAAAUAAAUUAAAAGAUUAAUUAGUAAAGUCAAAGAUGAUCUUGGUUAAUUCAAUUUUCAAGGA